rnacentral:lncRNA from 7 species
UAGGGCUUUUGAACCAAAAAUCUAAAUGUGCUUUACCCUCUUUAAAAGGCUAGGAAAUUAAGUUUACUCUAUAGGAAGCUGUAGGAAAGAUCAAGAAAAGACAGGAAAAGGAGCCCUUCACAAGAUGCCAUCCUCUUUUCACCUAAAGAGCCAUUCUUUUCCAAGGGUCUCCAAAGAGCUCAUUCAUUGUUUGGAGAACUAUAGCUGCCAGUCAUGAUUUGUCAAAAUCCAUUCCUCCUGCGAAGAGGCCCACCAGUUCCUGUUUGCUGCCACGAAGCGGCACCUCAUCUGCAGUGUGCAAAAGAUAUGAUAAUGAGAUUCACUUGACUUGCCUGAAUUGGGGUUGUUGUGCAUGGUUAGAAGGGUGUUUAUGUUACUUGCCUAGGAAUUCUGAUGCUGGGGAUUUGCAUGUUAAUGAUAACAUUUUACUUCUAAAAUGUGCUAUUUUUUACUGACUUUUAAACUUAAAAAUAUGAAAUAGAGGCCAUUGUCCUUCAAGGUCUCACAUUGAUUGUAUCAGUGAAAAUUCAGUUUACUUCACUGUUUGAGAUCUUUUUUUCCUUAUGUUAACAUCUCUAGGAAGCUUGUGUUAAGUUCAGAAAAUUGAGCUGUAUUCUUUCCAGCUUCUGUGUUCCAUUGCCAGAAAGAAAGAUCCUGCCAGCUAAAUCUAUCCUUGGUUAGACUUCUGAAUAUGCAUCGAGGACUAAUAAACAGAGUUGCUUUGAUUUUUUUUUUUUUCUUUCUUUGCUUUACAAUUUGAUAUUUUCCUAACAACCUCAUUGUUAGUGGGUUAUUCAGACCAGAGACUUUCUUCAGCUUACAGGUUUGUGUUUUUUUUUGGAUCUAUGUGGCCAGUGGUGAAGAAGGAGUAGGGCAUGUAUUUGUUGAUUCAAAUAAACAGUUACAGUUUGGAAAGUUCAGAAGGAGCAAAUCCAAAUUUAAAAUGUAUAGGGAUAUAUUUCCCAUACUUAUUU